AGAGAGCAUGUCGGCUCCUUUUAUCCCUUCUACCAUUUACAAAUGUCACCGGCUUCCCUGCUUGAGUCAUUAAGGAAAAGUAAUUACUUUAAGCAUGAGUCACAGCACAUUGAAAAAAGCAAUUAAUAUCUUGACAUCUAAACACAGAAAGAAAUCUCUGACAAGAUCUUGGAGAAUGUCAGGGCAGUAUUUAUUGGGCAAUAAUAAUACCAAAGUUACCUUUUGGAUGGCGGAAUGUUGUUGCCUGCUGUGUCUCCAGAGAAGCAAUGUCCUGUCCACACUGGAUGCUUAGGAAGUAUCAUGGAGCAAGUGAGUGAACACAGGAGUGAAUGACAGUCUUCGAUCCUUGUGUCCCCACCAUUUCUCCACCUGCGGGUCUCAGUCUGGUUCCUGAAAAAAAAACUCAAGGCUGUUGACUUAAGAUAUUGACUGAAGUCAUUCUUCUGGCACCUCUGGCUCACAGCUGGGUCCCUAUGUGGCUUCACUUUGACCCGAAGUUCAUAUUGCUGUUGUGAGCCCACCUUGCCACGGUAUGGACAGCAGCCCCCUGGGACCUGUGCUGGUCUGGAGAUGUGAUCAUCG
rnacentral:lncRNA from 1 species